rnacentral:lncRNA from 1 species
GAAUUAUAUGAAGUCAGGUAAAAAUAAUGCUGUUAUCUACGAGAUAAUCGUAUAUAUAAAUACCUUAAUAUAUUCAUCCAUCAGUUCAUUUGUAUAUUUUCGAUUCUGUACUGGAAGAAGCUUUAGAGGCGAACGAUUCAGGUAAAAGUUUAUAUUUACAAUUAAUCAAUAGAUUAUAGAAAUAUAAGGCGGCGAGCUGGCAGAAACGUUAGCACGCCGGGCGAAAUGCUUAGUGGUAUUUCGUCUGCCGUUACGUUCUGAGUUCAAAUUCCGCCGAGGUCGACUUUGCCUUUCAUCCUUUCGGGGUCGAUAAAUUAAGUACCAGUUACGCACUGGGGUCGAUGUAAUCGACUUAAUCCGUCUGUCUGUCCUUGUUUGUCCUCUCUGUGUUUAGCCCCUUGUGGGUAAUAAAGAAAUAAGAUUAUAGAAAUAUAGGGUACUACUAGCGAACAGUGGUCCCGGUGCGCGCAUCGGCGCUAGCUAGUCGUAAGUAGUCGAUCCUAAACGACUGCCUGGCAAAGUAAAUAAAACACAAAAUAAAUAAUUUUUUUACACAAAGUAAAUAAUUUUUGUUAAACAAAGUAGGAGGCGCAGGAGUGGCUGUGUGGUAAGUAGCUUGCUAACCAACCACAUGGUUCCUGGUUCAGUCCCACUGCGUGGCACCUUGGGCAAGUGUCUUCUGCUAUAGCCCCGGGCCGACCAAUGCCUUGUGAGUGGAUUUGGUAGAUGGAAACUGAAAGAAGCCUGUCGUGUUUGUGUGUGUGUGUUUGUCCCGAUGCUGGUGUGUUUACGUCCUCAUCACUUAGCGGUUCGGCAUAAGAGACCUGUAGAAUAAGUACUGGGCUUACAAAGAAUAAGUCCCGGAGUUGAUCUCCUCGACUAAAGGCAGUGCUCCAGCAUGGCCGCAGUCAAAUAACUGAAACAAGUAAAAGAGUAAAGUAAAUAAUUUUUUUAACAAAGUAAAUAACACAAAAACACAAAGUAAGGAUCGACUAGUCAUGACUAGCUGGCGCGAGGGCGCGCACCGGGACCACUGUUCGCUAGUAGUACAGAAAUAUAGUUACUAAGCUUCCAAUGUUAAAUCUCAACUUUUAAACUACCGAUCCAAGAGAUCGCUACUUUCCUAUCAAAUUACACAACUGCAGCAUGUGUUGACUGGGCCCUUCCUGUUCCACAAUCAAUUUUGGUAUGACCCCCAUGGUUUCGUUUUGUCCCUGCCACUUCUUUUCUUCUGUACAUCAGUUUUUGUUUGCGAAGUCUGACAACGCCUUCUUUGGAGGUAAAGGCGGCGAGCUGGCAGAAUCGUUAGCACGCCAGGCGAAAUGCGUAGCCGUAUUUCAUCUGCCAUCACGUUCUGAGUUCAAAUUCCGCUGAGGUCUGCUUUGCCUUUCAUCCUUUCGGGGUCAAUAAAUUAAGUAGCAGUUACACACUGGGGUUGAUGUGAUCGACUUAAUCCGUUUUUCUGUCCUUGUUUAUCCCCUCUAUGUUUAGCCCCUUGUGGGCAAUAAAGAAACAGAUAUAAUCCUUCACCCCUCCCAAACCAAAUGUUGGGCCUCGCUAUCGCAGAAGAUACUCCUUAGCGAUAGCAAGCCCGGCAUUUAGUUAGGGAGGAAUGCUUCCCUGACGAAAGCAUAUCCCAAAACAGGUACUUAAAGCCAGAAAAUAUUUCACCCCCACCUCCCAACAACAAUUGCUGGUCCUCUACAAAGUUCAUGUGAGGCCCACAAUAGAAUUUUGGGAUCUUUUCGGUUUGAACGGCAGUUUUUUUCUAGCGGUUUCCAUGCAACUAAAAAAUUUUAAACUUCAUAUACUGGUAGAAUGUGUUUAUAAAACACCUUUUUCUCUUGGCUUUAUUGAGAAAAUUCUAUAGUUUGGAAGAAAUUGCAGAAAUUGAAGAAAAAAAACAAGAUAUUUGUUGUCUUUUUUCUUCAAUUUCUGCAAUUUCAACCAAUCACUGACGUCUAUUGAGGUAAAAAGCAUUCUGUGCCGUAUGAAUAUGUCCCUCGUUUAAGAAACAGAUUGGGUUUAUUUACAUUUGUGAAGAAAAAAAGAGAUACCCUUCCCCCACUCCUAACCCUAAAACAGAUUGAAAUGCAAUAGAUCGAUACUAGGGUCAUAAUUAUGGGUGACAAUUUCAUAUGACACAGCAAGAAAAAAAUGCCGUUCAAACCGAAAAGAUCCGAAUUUUGUUCCUGCUUCUGAGAAGGCUACUGUCACGUAGACAGAUAUCCGAAGUUACAUCUAGAUGCUCGACUCCAGCCUCUGACCCACAGACGUAGUCUCUUUCUUUCCUUCAGCUACUGCUGUAGCUGCUGUUCCUUGAAGCUGGUUGUUCUAGUACCUCCAUUAUUGAGACACACUCAAUCCACUUGUCUCUCCAUCUCUCGUCAUCUAUGUGCCCAAACCCGCCCAGCUUGGCUGUGACCCCUAUCUCUAUCCUUCCAACCCAAAUUAUCGCCUCUCGGAUCUUUUCGGUUUGAACGGCAUUUUUUUCUUGCUGUGUCAUAUGAAAUUGUCACCCAUAAUUAUGACCCUAGUAUCGAUCUAUUGCAUUUCAAUCUGUUUUAGUGUUAGGGCUGGGGGGAAGGGUAUCUUUUUUUGUUCAGAAAUGUAAAUAAACCCAAUCUGUCUCUUAAACGAGGGACAUAUUCAUACGGCACAGAAUGUUUUCACCUCAAUAGACGUCAUUGAUUAGUUGAAAUUGCAGAAAUUGAAGAAAAAAACAACAACAAAUAUCUUAUAAACUAUAGAAUUUUCUCCAUAAAGCCAAGAGAAAACGAUGUUUUAUAAACACAUUCUACCAGUAUACAAAGUUAAAAAGUGUUUAGUUACGUGGAAAUUAUUUUUAAAAACUGCCGUUCAAACCGAAAAGAUCCCACCUCUCUCCUCUCUGCUUAUGUUUUUCCUGCAGGUCUUGACUUACCACAGUUCAAAUGGAACAUUAAUCCCAUCAAGUUCACCAGUUUCAUGACCUUUGCAAAAUCCAUGAAUUCUUGCACUUCCAGACGUAACAAGUAAAAAAGAAAUAUAUUCCUCUUUAAGUAUCCUCCUUAUCUUAUUCCGUUUCUCUUUCAUUUCAGCCUAUCAAAUGACACUUGCAUAAAAUUCUUUCGCAUCAGAUGCUUCACCAAUGUUUAUCAUCUGCUAAAGACUAAAAGAUGUUACACAGAAC